rnacentral:misc_RNA from 1 species
UCACAGAUCACACAUUCAUAGUAAUACCCAUCAUUUCCUUUCUUCUUGAAUGAAGAUAAAUCUGAACUUAGUUCACUCUUUGGCCUGCGUUUAGCAGCUGCAGUACUCCUGGGAGAUUCCAGGGCUGCUAACUUCUCUUCUUUACCAUUGGUAACGACUCGUCCAUACAAAAGCUUUUUUCGCUUGCGCUUCAAGACCCAGUUUCUGUUUAUCAUUUUAUUAGUAGUUGAACCACUAUCCUUCAUCUCUCAAUCCUCCGCAUUACAUUCGGAAGAUACGGAUUCGCCGGGGCAAAGGACGGGGUUUACACUUCUGACAUGGCAGCGC